GGAUUCCCCUAGUAAUGGCGAAUGAAGAGGGAAAAGCCCAAAUUUGUAAUCUGGCUCUUUUAGAGUCCGAGUUGUAAUUUUAAGAACUGUUUUCAGUGCUGGACCAUGUACAAGUCUGUUGAAAAGCAGCAUCAUAGAAGGUGAUAAUCCUGUUCAUGAUAUGGACUACCAGUGCAAUACGAUACAGUCUCUAAGAGUCGAGUUGUUUGGGAAUGCAGCUCAAAGUGGGUGGUAAAUUCCAUCUAAGGCUAAAUAUUGAUGAGAGCCGAUAGCAAACAAGUACCGUGAGGGAAAGAUGAAAAGAACUUUGGAAAGAGAGUUAACAGUACGUGAAAUUGUUAAAAGGGAAACAAUUGAAGUUAGACUUGUUAUUAUUAGUUCAACCUUUUUUAAAGGAGUAUUCUAAUGAUUAACAGACCAACAUCAAUUUUUGGGUGUUGGAUAAGGGCUUAAGGAAAUGUAGCAGUCUCUGAUUGUGUUAUAGUCCUGAGCUUUGAUACAAUGCUUAAGAUUGAGGAAUGCA
rnacentral:rRNA from 1 species